UUCAUCUUCUUCCUCAGGAAAUCAAAUCGCAUCUUCAAAAAUCCUAAAUCCACUAUCUUCCUCAUGAAAUCAAACUGCAGAUCAAAGGUUAUCGAAGGCUUUGUGGAAGAAAAAGGAAGAAUGUUUGACAAGCAAACUGAUGGUGAACGCAAAGAGGCCGCUGAGCCUUAUGUUCUUGAUCCGGCACACUUCAGAAAAAUGGUACAUCCUAGUUGGAUGGAAAAUGACAAAGAGAACUUUGAGUAUCCAUUGUAAAAGCCUAGAAAAUGACACGAAGAUUGUAGUUUGGAAAUCGAGUAUUCGCUGAGAAGAUGUGAUCAAGAAAGCAAUGGAGAUUGAGACAGACAAAAAAAAGACUAGAUAUUAUGGAUUAUGACUUAUUUCUAUGUUACCGUGGUUAGGGUAUAUCAAUGUUACGACUUUUGUUUUUAUGUAAUCAUGGUUACCGUAUGUCAAGGAUUAUAACUUGC